rnacentral:misc_RNA from 1 species
CUCGAAAAACGCGAACAAUGAAAUAAUCAAUUGGUAUAAAUAUUAACGGAAUCUUAAAGAUUAAGAAAUGAGAAAAAGACAAAGGUGAAAGCGUCAAAUUCAAUGAAACGAGCUCUUCUAAAUAGAUAAAAGCUCGAUAAUUCAAAAACCCAGAUAGGAAAUACGAAAACUUUGAUCAGGGGAAAAUCUUUUAUUGGGGUCAAAGUUUCUG